UUUUUGUUCUAUACAUGUUCUUUUAUGUCUAUUCUUAUAAGGUGAGUUUUUCAUUAUGCAUCUGAUGAUAUUAAAAAUAGCUAUCCCCUUUUCCAGUUAAAUUUCAGAUCUUGUCAUAUUUACCCUUUCUGAAUUUUACUUUAUCAAAUUUUUGGUAUAUUCAACAUUUUCCUCUAACCUGUUAUUUUUCUCACCGACGUUUAAAAAUACUCAAGUUUUUCCAUCUUGAAAAAUAAAUCUCCUUCAGCCACACUCUUCAGCCCACCCUGAAUUCUUUCUUAUAUACCAAAGGCAUUGAACCAAUUUUCCUAUAUUUCUACUUUAUGCUUCUUCUUCCUUUAUUCAUUUCAAUAUGGUUUCUAUCCCAUCAUCAAUUACCUAAUAAUGGUAAAAAGAAUGAAUUUUGUUGUUGUUGUUCUCAUUUUACCUUUCUUUCAUGCACAUUAAUCACUGUUAUAACUCCCUUUUCUUAGCUUCUAUGAUACUACUGCUGGUUUUACUGCCAUCUUUUGGAAUCUCCUUUUCAGUCCUCUCCAAAUGCUUAUAUUCAUUUACUCAGCCAUUGGAUAUGUUGGGACUUCUCAGGGUUUUGUCCUCUUCUCAAGCUCUAAUUUUGUCCUCUAGCAUCUAAAUUAUGCAUCUGGAUUUGAUGACUUCCCACACACAGAUGAAUUCUGAGUUUGUAUCUGAAACCCAGAACUCUCUUCUGAGCUCUAGGCUUCUAUCUAGAACUACCUUAGCAUCUCACUUUGAUAUUUGAAAAGCACUUCAAACUCAACAAUAUCUAAAACUCAACAUCUGAUCUCCCCGAAAUCUAAGUAAAAUGUUAAGUUUUAGAGGCAUCAUCUUUUUUUCUCUAUCUUUUUCAUCCUUUAUUUCAUUUAAGUUGUCAUUAUUUCUCACCUGGAGAAUUGUACUAGGUUUCUAAUUCAUGCUCCCUCCAUUUUGCCCUCUUCCAGUCUAUUCUCCACAGUUUAGACAGGGAGAUUUUUUUCAAUAUACAAAUCACAUCAUUCCUUCAUUUAAACAGAAGGCUUCCAUUGUUUUUUGUAUAUAACCCCAAAAUCUUCAAUAUGAUUCACAAUGUCCUCUGUGGUUUGGUACUAUUUACUCUAUCAGCCUCAUCCAGCACUGUGAUCUCACUUCCUAUGAACUCUGGACACACUAGCUUUCUUUUAGUCCUUAGACUGUAUUCUUUUAUCUCUGCUGUAAGACUUUUGUAUGUUUUUUUCCCUGCCUGAAAUUUUCUUUCCAAUCGUCCAUAUUUAGUUAAUACCUACAAUCCAUCAUAUCUCUGAUUAUUUCUGCAGGCUAAGUUUCCCUCACCCCUAGACCACUAGGAGCCCCUGUUACACUCUCAUGCUACAACAUGCCUUUUCUACAUGGUAGAUUCAAUUCACCACAAUGAAUUAAAUUCACCACAAUUUAAAUUGUAUAUUUGCUUUGUGUGAUUGAUUAAUGACUAUCUACACAUCUAGGUUAUAAACUGCUUACCCUGACCAUAUUCUGGCUCAGCCUUUUGAGCAAUGAGGAUACACUCAAAAAUAGUUUUUAAAAAAUGAUGGAAAAUAUUUGAAUGAAGCGUUUGAUAGGUUCAGUGUUAGAUGUAGUAGUUGAUUACUUUUAGUUUCCAUUUGUUGUCACAAAUUAUUUUUAGUUUUGGAUAGACUAGAAGAUAUUUUAGGAUCUCUACGCAUAUCAGCAGAAAAGAAAUGACACAUUAAAAUUAAGUAAUUUGAAGAAUGUUUAAUAAGAAACAAUUUACCAAGGUGUGGGAUGGGUACAGGAAAAUCACAAGAGUCACUGUUGUGCUUUGUAGCUAAUAACAGCAAUAAGAGUGGAUGGCAGAGGGAGAAUCACUUUCCUUCCUCUCUUCAGUAUCCUGCCUGUACUCUUCUUUGGCUAAAGCCACCCAGAAGCCAGAAGAAAAGAGAUGCUGUUGUUAUAGUUUGUACAGAUUAGCUUCUUUGAUCUGAAGGUAGGGGAUGAAUUUAAAGAAACAAAAAUAUCUAGCACAUCAUGAAAAGCUGAUUAUACCUAGAAGAACAAAGUCAUUUAUUUACUGGUUCAUUCAUUUUUACUUAUUUCUGUAGUAAAAGGCUGCAUUGCUUUCUGUCAAUACUUUAAUAGGUAAUGUUUCCCUUUGUGAACUGAGGUCUCCAAAAGUAAAUGUGAAAGAUGGAAAAAAUGUCAAGGAAUCCUGCCAACUAAACCUUUCAAAGUAGGUAUGGACAAAGUCAGUAAGAAAACUGUCUGGCCUUGUUUUCUAUAAUCUAUUCAUGGGUUGGAUGACUCAGCUCUUUCUCUAUCAUCAUCUUGUUUGUCAGAGAACUCUUUCCUCAUCUCAGCAGUGAGGAGAUAAGCAUAGAGAGGAAGAGGAAGGUUUGUUUUGUCUCUUUCUUCACUAUUCUCAUAUUUUAUUUAUUUAUUACUAUUUUUAAGAUUUUAUUUAUCUAUUUAUGAGAGACACAGAGAGAGAGAGAGAGAGAGAGAGAGAGAGAGGCAGAGACACAGGAAGAGGGAGAAGCAGGCUCCAUGCAGGGAGCCCCGAUGUGGGACUCAAUCCUGGGUCUCCAGGAUCAGGCCCUGGGCUGAAGGUGGUGCUAAACCACUGGGCCACCCAGGCUGCCCACUAUUCUCAUAUUUUAGAUAAAAUUGGUUUUCUCUCAUGUGCCAGUUGUUUUCUAAAACACUGCUAUGCUUGGUCUUUUAAUCCAAAUGAUGUUGAAACAGACUUUAUAGAUAACAUCCUCUCUUCUUCUUUCUGGAAAUGUAUAAAGGAAAUGUAGUAAUAGAAACCAAAAUAGCUGGAUACAUUUUAUUUUUUUAAAGGCCAUAUAUCUCAAAAUUGCCCUCAGAUUAAGUUCAUAAUUAUUUCCCAUGGUCAUACUAUAAAGUUAAUAAAAAAACGGCAAUAAGAUUAAUAUACAUUUCCUCAUACAUAUUUUGCUUCUUUAAAUUGUGCCCCACUGACAACCAAUUUCAUACAAUGAACAGAAAAAAAUCAGUUAACAAUUUUGAAGAUUGAACGAAUCUUGGAUUCCCCUUACCUAGCUACAUAUCCAGUGUUGUCUUUUCUUUAGUCCAUCCAAUCUUGAUACUUGUCAUGAUGACAUUACACUCAGAAGCAGUUCAUUCCAACCUGGAAUAUUUCGCAUUUUGUGUUCUUCCUUUCUCUCUUCAUCUUACUGUAUCCAGAAUG
rnacentral:lncRNA from 1 species